UUCAGUCUUUAAGGAAUAUUAAAUAAGAAUGAUAGAGGGCGAUGGUGUUGGCACACAAAAGACAAAAGGAUAAAAAAAAAAAAUCACAACUGGAAAACAGGGAGAACUGAUGUUAAAGGGGAGGGAGGGCGUACAAGAGCAAAGGAAGUGAGGGGCAAAGAAUGAUCAAAAGGUCAAUAUAGUGUUGGUCAAAAGGUCAAUACAGUGUUGCUCAAAAGGUCAAAAGGUCAAUAUAGUGUUGGUCAAAAGGUCAAUAUAGUGUUGGUCAAAAGGUCAAUAUAGUGUUGGUCAAAAGGUCGAUAUAGUGUUGCUCAAAAGGUCAAUAUAGUGUUGCUCAAAAGGUCAAUAUAGUGUUGCUCAAAAGGUCAAUAUAGUGUUGCUCAAAAGGUCAAUAUAGUGUUGCUCAAAAGGUCAAUCUAGUGUUGCUCAAAAGGGCAAUAUAGUGUUGGUCAAAAGGUCAAUAUAGUGUUGGUCAAAAG